UACGUAGGGGGCAAGCGUUAUCCGGAUUUACUGGGUGUAAAGGGAGCGUAGACGGCCAGACAAGUCUGAAGUGAAAAUCCAGCGCUUAACGUUGGAAGUGCUUUGGAAACUGCCGGGCUAGAGUGCAGGAGGGGCAGGCGGAAUUCCUAGUGUAGCGGUGAAAUGCGUAGAUAUUAGGAGGAACACCGGUGGCGAAGGCGGCCUGCUGGACUGCAACUGACGUUGAGGCUCGAAGGCGUGGGGAGCAAACAGG
rnacentral:rRNA from 1 species